rnacentral:lncRNA from 1 species
UCCACCUCAGGCGCCUACAGUUGAUCAUCCAGUUGGGCCAAUCACUCGGGCCCGUGCGAGAGAAUUAAACUUCGUCAUGCUGUUAAGGAAUGAAGGUCCAGCGGAAUAAGAAGAUGGCCCAACAGGGCAGCCCAGGUGGGGCGCCAAGGGUUGGGAGCCACGGCCCUCCCCCUGGUCGCGUGCGCCCCCCUCCUGCUAUGGCGCCUCCUCCGGACUCCAGGGGCUGCGCCCCCUUUAUUUAGUCGGAGUCCCUUUUGUUUACAACUUGAGUUUUGUUUUACAUCUAGCUUUAGCUACUCUCGAACACGCGCAAAUACGCGCUAUCCUCGUGUGAUUCAAAACUCCACCUUCGAGUAAUAUUGAGAUUGCUCGCGUCUUUUUC